GAUGAAGAACGUAGCGAAAUGCGAUAAGUAAUGUGAAUUGCAGAAUUCAGUGAAUCAUCGAAUCUUUGAACGCACAUUGCGCCCCUUGGUAUUCCGAGGGGCAUGCCUGUUCGAGCGUCAUUAUAACCCCUCAAGCUCAGCUUGGUGUUGGGGCCUGCUGCACUGGCAGCCCUUAAAAUCAGUGGCGGCGCCAUCUGGCUCUAAGCGUAGUAAUUCUUCUCGCUAUGGAGUCCUGGUGGAUGCUUGCCAUCAACCCCCAAUUUUUCUAUGGUUGACCUCGGAUCAGGUAGGGAUACCCGCUGAACUUAGGCAUAUCAAUAAGCGGAGGA
rnacentral:misc_RNA from 1 species